AGAAUCAACGCUGGCGGCGUGCUAACACAUGCAAGUCGAGCGAGAAAGGGUAGCAAUACUGAGUAAAGCGGCGCACGGGUGAGUAACACGUGACUAACCUACCCUGGAGUGGGGAAUAACUGAGGGAAACCUUAGCUAAUACCGCAUAAUACCUACGGGUCAAAGGAGCAAUUCGCUCUGGGAGGGGGUCGCGGCCGAUUAGUUAGUUGGCGGGGUAAUGGCCCACCAAGACUGUGAUCGGUAUCCGGCCUGAGAGGGCGCACGGACACACUGGAACUGAAACACGGUCCAGACUCCUACGGGAGGCAGCAGUGGGGAAUUUUGCGCAAUGGGGGAAACCCUGACGCAGCAACGCCGCGUGGAGGAUGAAGUCCCUCGGGACGUAAACUCCUUUCGAUCGGGACGAUUAUGACGGUACCGGAAGAAGAAGCCCCGGCUAACUUCGUGCCAGCAGCCGCGGUAAUACGAGGGGGGCGAGCGUUGUUCGGAAUUAUUGGGCGUAAAGGGUGCGUAGGUGGUUGGGUAAGUCUGAUGUGAAAUCUCGGAGCUUAACUCCGAAACGGCAUUGGAUACUAUUCAGCUUGAGAGUUGGAGGGGGGACUGGAAUUCUCGGUGUAGCAGUGAAAUGCGUAGAUAUCGAGAGGAACACCAGUGGCGAAGGCGAGUCCCUGGACAACUUCUGACACUGAGGCACGAAAGCCAGGGGAGCAAACGGGAUUAGAUACCCCGGUAGUCCUGGCCCUAAACGGUGCACGUUUGCUGUAAAAGGAAUCGACCCCUUUUGUGGCGUAGCUAACGCGUUAAACGUGCCGCCUGGGAAGUACGGUCGCAAGAUUAAA
rnacentral:rRNA from 1 species